rnacentral:rRNA from 1 species
GCUAAACGCGAAGAACCUUACCUGGUCUUGACAUCCAUGGAACCCUGCAGAGAUGCGGGGUGCCGUAAGGAACCAUGAGACAGGUGCUGCAUGGCUGUCGCCAGCUCGUGUCGUGAGAUGUUGGGUUAAGUCCCGCAACGAGCGCAACCCUUGUCCUUAGUUGCCAGCGAGUAAUGUCGGGAACUCUAAGGAGACUGCCGGUGACAAACCGGAGGAAGGUGGGGAUGACGUCAAGUCCUCAUGGCCCUUACGGCCAGGGCUACACACGUACUACAAUGGUCGGUACAGAGGGUUGCCAAACCGCAAGGUGGAGCCAAUCCCAGAAAGCCGAUCCCAGUCCGGAUCGGAGUCUGCAACUCGACUCCGUGAAGUCGGAAUCGCUAGUAAUCGCGGAUCAGCUAUGCCGCGGUGAAUACGUUCCCGGGUCUUGUACACACCG